GACAAACGCUGGCGGCAUGCCUAACACAUGCAAGUCGAACGGACAGAACAGGGAAGCUUUUCGGAGUGGAACUGGAAAGUUAGUGGCGGAUGGGUGAGUAACGCGUGGACAACCUACCUUGUAAAGGGGAAUAACCUCGAGAAAUCGAAGCUAAUACCCCAUAAUAACCUUGCUUCGCAUGAAGUAAGGAGGAAAGGCGGCCUUAGCGCUGUCGAUACAAGAUGGGUCCGCGUCUGAUUAGCUAGUUGGUGAGGUAAAGGCUCACCAAGGCGACGAUCAGUAGCCGGCCUGAGAGGGUGAACGGCCACAUUGGGACUGAGACACGGCCCAAACUCCUACGGGAGGCAGCAGUGGGGAAUCUUCCGAAAUGGGCGAAAGCCUGACGGAGCAAUGCCGCGUGAGUGCAGAAGGCCUUCGGGUUGUAAAACUCUGUCCUUAUCGAAGAGAGAGUGUUGUAGUAACUGACAAUACUAGGACGGUAGAUGAGGAGGAAGCCCCGGCUAACUAUGUG
rnacentral:rRNA from 1 species